rnacentral:rRNA from 1 species
CUACGGGCUGCACCAGUUAGGAAUAAUCUGCAAUGCGCGAAAGCGUGACAGUUUGAGCCAGAGUGCUUUUCUUUUGAAAAGCUUUUGUGAAAUGUAAAAAGUUUUACGAAUAAGGACUGGGUAAGACGAGUGCCAGCCGCCGCGGUAAUACUCGCGGUCCAAGUCGCAGCCAUUUUUAUUGUGGUCUAAAACAUCCGUAGCUUGCUUGGUGAGUUUCCUGUGAAAUCCGGCUUCUUAAGAGUUGGGCGGGCAGGAAGUACUGCCAAGCUAGAGACUGGAAGACGUAACGAGUACGUUCAGAGUAUCGGUAAAAUGAGUUAAUCCUGGACGGACUAACAACAGCGAAGGCACGUUACGAGGACAGUUCUGACAGUAAGGGAUGAAGGCUAGGGGCGCAAAACGGAUUAGAUACCCCAGUAGUC